UAGGGAAUCUUCGGCAAUGGGGGCAACCCUGACCGAGCAACGCCGCGUGAGUGAAGAAGGUUUUCGGAUCGUAAAGCUCUGUUGUAAGAGAAGAACGUGUGUGAGAGUGGAAAGUUCACACAGUGACGGUAACUUACCAGAAAGGGACGGCUAACUACGUGCCAGCAGCCGCGGUAAUACGUAGGUCCCGAGCGUUGUCCGGAUUUAUUGGGCGUAAAGCGAGAGCAGGCGGUUUAAUAAGUCUGAAGUUAAAGGCAGUGGCUUAACCAUUGUUCGCUUUGGAAACUGUUAAACUUGAGUGCAGAAGUGGAGAGUGGAAUUCCAUGUGUAGCGGUGAAAUGCGUAGAUAUAUGGAGGAACACCGGUGGCGAAAGCGGCUCUCUGGUCUGUAACUGACGCUGAGGCUCGAAAGCGUGGGGAGCAAACAGG
rnacentral:rRNA from 1 species